rnacentral:rRNA from 1 species
CAGCCGCCACGGGAAUACGUAGGGCGCAAGCGUUAUCCGGAAUUAUUGGGCGUAAAGAGCUCGUAGGCGGUUUGUCGCGUCUGCCGUGAAAGUCCGGGGCUCAACCCCGGAUCUGCGGUGGGUACGGGCAGACUAGAGUGAUGUAGGGGAGACUGGAAUUCCUGGUGUAGCGGUGAAAUGCGCAGAUAUCAGGAGGAACACCGAUGGCGAAGGCAGGUCUCCGGGCAUUAACUGACGCUGAGGAGCGAAAGCAUGGGGAGCGAACAGGAUUAGAUACCCCCGUAGUCCCUGUCUCUUAUAA